CACCCCCCUUUAAAAAAAAAAAAAAGUGCCAAGCAAGGUGCCUCAGGAUGGAAACGCAACUCCGCCCCCAGCCGCGAAUCUCUCCAAAAGGAGAGGGCGAGCGGAAAGUGCCUCCGGCGGCCCCGCGGAAAGCGGCUCUCUGCCUCCUGCACAGAAGGUGGCCAGCUCUGGCUGAAGCUAUGCCUGGAGAUACCUCGCCCAACAAUAUCAAGCCAUUAAAAUAACCAGGAGUGAUAUCACCGGGAAAUUGAGGCCGAUCGUAGCGGGCUGGCACCCUACAUGUGUUUGGCAUGGGGAAGGGGAGUGGGAACAGCCCAGAGGGAAAGUGGAAAACCCACUCCCGGCGUGCUCGAGGCGAAAUCGGAGUGAGUGUUGGGGCCACCUUACUAGCCAACAAUCCCAUGUGGCUGCCAGGACAGCAAAGCAAAGGAUUGCCGCACAGAAGGGCAGAAUCCGGUAUCACCAGAAUUGUGUAGCGGGGUCAGACUGAGGGGCACCUUCUAGUCCAGCACGCAGGAGGCAGCAGGCAUAUUUAUUUGUUUGUUUUGUUUUUGCAUUUAUAUCCGACUCUUCCUCCAAGGAGCCCAGAGGUUAUGUACGUGGUUAUGUCUCUCCUCACCACAACCCUGUAAGGUAGGUUAGGCUGAGAGAGAUCAGUGAUUGGCCCAGAGUCACCCAGGGAGUUUUAUGGCUCAAUGGGGAUUUGAACUCUGGUCUCCCCAGUCCUAGUCCAACCAUGAUGCCGUGUGUGUGUGUGUGUGUGUGUGUGUGUGUAUUACACACACACACACACCACUUUGCAACAACAACAAAAAGUUAGUCUGAAUAGCAAAAGAAAAAGAAGAAAAUGGUUCUGUGUUGGCCUCUCCCCAAAAAGCCUCAUAACAAUCUAAAAAGAAACACAAGGGAGACACACCAGCAACAACCACUGGAGGGAUGCCGUGUGCUGGGGUUGAAUAGGGACAGCUGAUCUUCCCCUCCCAUAUAUAAAAAGAGUAAGCAGUUUAGAAGAGGCCUCUUUGUCCAUUUAGCAAGAGAAAUGGUCUUCCCUGGUUUAAUUUUUUAAUUUUUUUUUAUUUUGCCUAUUAUCUAGUAUUUGAGAGUUAUAAUGCUUCUGUCCAUAAGAAGUUGCAUUUAUUUAUUGUUUGUUUAUUGCCUUGCUUGUAGUGGCUUACAGACUAAAUCACUCAUUGAGAUUAAAGGGGGCAGUUAGUUGACUACCUUGCCCCAUUCAUUUCAGUGGGACUAUUCAUGAAUCAUUUAGUCUGGAUAUCGGCCAGUAUUUCUAUCCUGCCUUUCAGGUUAAACUUUCAAGGCAGCUUAUAAAAUUAAUAAAAUUAACAACAAUGGGCCUCAUCUAAGUACCAUUUAUAACUUAAGUCCCAUUCAUUUUAAUGGUGCUUAGUCAUGACAAUCUGGAUACUGUCUACUGUUGCUGAUUUUCUUAAUAAAAAAUAAUUACUAGCCCAAAUAAAGAUACAGUGACAAUAAAGUACAGAGACAGCAAUAUUAAAACACACACACACAUAUAGCCAGCAAAACAGCACACUAAAAAGCCUGGGGAUAUUCCUCAAGUACCAAGAUGUCUACAGACAACCAUGGCUAAUAUGUGUAGGAACAGAGGCAGCUGCCAUAUACCGAGUCAGACCAUUGGUCCAUCUAGCGCAGUAUUGUCUACACAGACUGGCAGUGGCUUCUCCAAGGUUGCAGGCAGGAGUCUCUCUCAGCCCUAUCUUGGAGAUGCCAGGGAGGGAACUUGGAACCUUCUGCAUGCAACUAUGCAGAUGCUCUUCCCAGAACAGCUCCAUCCCCUAAGGGGAAUCUCUUCCAAUGCUCACAUGUAGUCUCCCAUUCAAAUGCAACCAGGGUGGACCCUGCUUAGCAAAGGGGACAAUUCAUGCUUGCUACCACAAGACCAGCUCACCUCCCGGACUACAGUGUUUAAUGGACUACAGUGUUGGUCACACAGAGACCUGAGUUCAAACACCUGCUCAUAAGGCUAGCUGGGUGGUUGUGGGUAAGUUGUUCUCAAGACCCCCUGUGAAAAGGGGAUCAUAAUGCCCUACCUCAUAGGGUUGUUGUGAAGCCAAGUGAGAUUAACAUUAUAAACAAAGAAUGUCUUGCUCCAAGUGCCGUAGGAAUGCUAAAUAGCCAAACAGAGUUGUGGGAAGCAAAAUCUAGACUUUAUUAUAAAGAACACCCACCCUCUUCUUGUGUCUCAUGUGGGUACACAGAUCCCAGCAGCACAAGUCAGGGCAGUACUACUGCUACAAAUAUAUGCUACUUCGUGAAUAUAAUCAAUCUGAGCCACAACAGUAACUUUAAAUGCAGCUUUUGGGUAAGAGCUCAUGUGGUAUAAUGGCUAGGAAUGUGAGCUAAUAAGCCUUCAGUUCAGAACAUAGGUAUUGUCUUCACAGACUGGCAGUGGCUUCUCCAAGGUUGCAAGCAGGAAUCUCUCCCAGCCCUAUCUUGGAGAAGCCAGGGAGGGAACUUGGAACCUUCUGCUCUUCCCAGAGCGGCUUCAUCCCCUGAGGGGAAUAUCUUGCAGUGCUCACACUUCUAGUCUCCCAUUCAGAUGCAACUAGGGUGGACCCUGCUUAGCUAAGGGGACAAGUCAUGCUUGCUGCCACAAGACCAGCUCUCCUCUCCUAGACCAGCUCUCCUCUCUUAAAGCCCACAGCACCCGGUAUUUCCAGGCAGUCUCCCAUCCAAGUACUAACCAGGCCUGAACAUACUUCGCUUCUGAGAUCAGACGAGAUCGGGUGUGUUCAGGGUAGUGUGGCUGUAGACCUCACCCCACUCAUGAAUUUGCUACAUAGCCUUAUGUGAUCCAUUGUCCCAGCAUCACACCCCCUCCUCCUUUGCAAGAUGGGGAUCCUAAUACUGCCUUACUUCACAGAGCUGUUUAAGGAUUCCUGAGGGGAAGUACACUUGAAGCUGCAAGGGUCUUUCACAUCUCAUACUCAUGGAUCCUUUUAGCCUGGGGGUGCUGCUGGGGGUUGAACCUGGGUUCUAGACCAAUCAAAUACUCUGCCACUGAGCCAUUAAACAUGCACUAAAGACAUGCUAGGUAUUUUUAUCAACCAACCCCAGGACCUGUUAAGAUCAUCUAGGGAGGGCCUGUUGUGGUUGUCACCGGCUAGGUUGGUGGUGACUAGAAAUUGGGCCUUUUCUAGAGUUACCCCAGGACUCUGGAACAUGCUUCCUAAUGAAAUUAGAGUUUCCCUUUCUCUGAAUGUUUUAAAGAAGGACCUGGUGCAUCAGAGAAAUGCUUGACUAGCAAGCAGAAGGUUGCUGGUUCGAAUCCCUGCUGCUACUAUAUCGGGCAGCAGCGAUAAGGGAAGAUGCUGAAAGGCAUCAUCAAGGAGGCAAUGAUAAACCCCUCCUGUAUUCUACCAAAGAAAACCACAGGGCUCUGUAGGUGCCAGGAGUCGAAAUCGGCCUGAGAGCACACCUUACCUUUAAAGACAUACAUGUUUCGUCAAGCUUUUAGUUUAUAGUUUUAAAGCUUCGGUUUUAGAGUUUUUAUUGUAUUUUAAAUUGUUUUAAUUAUGUUAAUGUUUUAAUGGUUAUAUACUGUGAAGUGCCCAGGGACAUUUUUGUAUGGGGCAGUAUAUAAAUAUACUAAAUAAAUACAAUAAAUACAUCAAGAACAA